GGCUUAGUGGUAAAGAGUCCGCCUAUCAAUGCAGCAGACACCAGAGAGGCAGAUUUGAUGCCUGGGUUGGGAAGAUCCCAGGGAGUAGGACAUGGCAACCCACUCCAGUAUUCUUGCCUGGAUAAUCCCAUGGACACAGGAAGCCUGGUGGGCUACUGUCCAUGGGGUCACAAGAGUUGGACACAACUGAGCAACUGAGCACACAGGAAUGCAAAUAGGAUUGAGCUGUUACCAAAUCAUAUUUGAGCCCAUCAAUGACUACUUUAGAUAGGAAAUAGAAAAGAGAAGAAGGCUUAACGUGUGUUAAAGUAAAUCUGUAGCCAUUUAAAUUUGAGAAGAAAGAAAAAAUAGAAUCCCAAGCAUACAAGCUGAUGUGGAGAAUUUGAGCUGCUUUUAGAAUUAGGCCCAUUAGCACUUGAACCAAACCCAUAUGGGCAAGGUAGCCUUCUUUCAUGGAUUUUCCAGUGCAAGCAUAGUUGCUCAGUGGUGUCCGACUCUUUGCGAACCCAUGGGCUGUACCCUGGCCAGGCUCCUCUGUCCAUGGAGUUCUCCAGGCAAGAACACUAGAGUGGGUGGCCAUUCCCUUCUCCAGGGAAUCUUCCCAACCCAUGGAUGGAACCCAGGUGUCCUGCAUUGCAGCAGAUUACCUCCUUAAUCCUCCUGAAGUCUCAUCAUAGGAAGACAAUUCUAUUGAGAGAAAAGGGAAUGGAAGCUCAUCAUCGUUAUACCCUCUUCCUCAUUAUCAUCAUCACAUGAUUAUAACCAAGCAGGACCCUAUGGUUGGAUGGCAUCACCGACUCAGUGGACGUGAAUCUGAACAAAAACUCCGGUAGGAAGUGAAGGACAGGGAAGCAUGGCGUGCUGCAGUUCAUGGGGUUGCGAAAAGUUGGACAGGGCUUAGAGACUGAACAACAAGAACCCUAUGGGGCCUUCCCAGGACAGACCACCACGGCCCCCGCCGCCAUACCCUCUGCUUUAGCCCCUAUCUGGAGUACCUAGAUAAUAGUAUCUGAUGGACAUUUCCUGAGCUGUUUUGCAGAUGGGAACCACCUGCCCCCUCAGAUGGAGGAAGUACUUGCUGACCAUGAGCACACAGCCUCAGGCCUCCUGGAGCCCAAGGACUGAUAACCUCUGUGAUACCACCUGACUGUCUCAACAUCAGCCAAUCAGAGAAUUGGCCGUGCACAAGCUGAUCACUACCUUUCGACCUCCUCUUCACCUGCCCUUUAAAAAUGCUCUGCCAAAACCUUUCAGGGAGCUCAGGGCUUUUCAGGGCAUGAGCCACCUCGUCUCCUUGUGUGACCUUGCAAUAAACCUUUCUCUGCCCCAGACUCUGACAUUUCAGUUUAUCUGCUCUCACUGCGCACAGGGGAACACGAACUUGCAUAUACAUGAUUGCUGUAGUGUGAUUGGCAUCUGCCGUGUGCGAUUCUAAGUGCUUUUCACAUGUUAGUUCACUCUCACAGCUUGACAAGUACAUAUUUUGAUAAUAAUAGCUGCUGUAUAUCGGAUGCUUCCUGUGUGCUAGAUAGACACUGUGCUAAAUACAUUUACCAUUUCAUUUAUACUAUACAAUGGUGUAUACGUGUCCUAUAUUGACAAAACGAAGGCUGGAAGAGUCCUGUGUUUGUCUCUGCACUAUCAAUUUAAAUGAACCUGUUUGUUUAUUUGCAGCCUUCCUUCACAUCCCUAAAUUAACCAAACCACAACACGGUGAUCAUUUUUGAAGAAUGUGAAGUUGUUGGUUUGGUGUCACCCUCAAGAGUUCUGGAGAAAUCUAUCCUGCUCAAGACAGCAGGAAAAAAGAAUUUCAACGCCUAUUUGGUUACUAAGUACACAGAGAGCAAGACGAGACAGAGAGUUCUGAGCUCAAAGUGCAGAGAGUCCGAGUAAUUGUCCAGAACAAAUGAAGCGCUCAGAAUGAAUGACUAAGGACAUUGCCACAAUGUUCUCUGCUCAGGCUAUUAGAUCACCCCAGAAAAACACACAGCUAUUUUUGAGGAUGGAAAGGAGCUUUGUGUGUGCGCUCCAGCUGCUCCCUUGCCUUCUGGUAGGCUCUGAAAAAAAUCCAUGAUGCAUGCAGACAAGCGAUUCUGUUCCAGCCUUUGCUACUGAAAGCAUAGUCUAAGGCUCAGCAGCCCUGGCUUCACCCAGGAACUUGUUGCAGCCUGUGGGGCCCCACCUGAGAACUACUGGAUUGGAAUCUGCAUUUUAUGUAGACUCAAGGGGACUGGAAUGCAAAAGUAGGAAGUCAAGAAACACCUGGAGUAACAGGCAAAUUUGGCCUUGGAAUACGGAAUGAAGCAGGGCAAAGACUAAUAG
ensembl:lncRNA